CUUGUCUCAAAGAUUAAGCCAUGCAUGUCUAAGUAUAAGCAACUAUACAGUGAAACUGCGAAUGGCUCAUUAAAUCAGUUAUCGUUUAUUUGAUAGUACCUUACUACUUGGAUAACCGUGGUAAUUCUAGAGCUAAUACAUGCUAAAAAUCCCGACCUCUGGAAGGGAUGUAUUUAUUAGAUAAAAAACCAAUGCCUUCGGGCUCCUUGGUGAUUCAUGAUAACUUAACGAAUCGCAUGGCCUUGCGCCGGCGAUGGUUCAUUCAAAUUUCUGCCCUAUCAACUUUCGAUGGUAGGAUAGUGGCCUACCAUGGUUUCAACGGGUAACGGGGAAUUAGGGUUCGAUUCCGGAGAGGGAGCCUGAGAAACGGCUACCACAUCCAAGGAAGGCAGCAGGCGCGCAAAUUACCCAAUCCCGAUUCGGGGAGGUAGUGACAAUAAAUACUGAUACAGGGCUCUUUUGGGUCUUGUAAUUGGAAUGAGUACAAUUUAAAUCCCUUAACGAGGAACAAUUGGAGGGCAAGUCUGGCCCC
rnacentral:rRNA from 1 species